GUUCAUAUCAGUCCUUUCCUGGAAUCUGCUACAGAUCAUUUGUGCCCAUUCAAAUUCAUUGCUCUGCAUAUCUGAAGAUAAAGCCACUCUGUCACAGUUUCCAGUUGCUUCAUUCCCACGCUGCAGAGCUGUUCCCAAGAACUGCACCAUGGUGAGGCGACUGCUUCUGUUCCAUUGAUUCAUGGGACAUGAGAACUCCUACUGGCCUUCAGCACCAAACAAGAGGAACUGAUGUGAGCUGAUUGAAUGCUGGGGACACGCUGAGAAAUUAAGAGCUCUUUGUCAGGCGCUGUUUGGGAAACUCACAUCCCUCUAGUGUGAAGUAAUGCCUCCUGCUCUCAAAUGAAUAGUUC
ensembl:lncRNA